ACAGCUUUAUCUUAUGUGAUUCUCUCUCUUCAUUAUUGUCAACUUAUUCUCUGCAUAUACCCGUUCCUCCAUGGAUUUUGAAAUACUUUUGCAAUUCAUAGCUUAAAUUAAAUCAACUUCCAUUUUAUGGAGCUCCACCAUCUUCUUCAUAAGAUAAAUUGGGGUUUGGACUUAUUCCCUGCUCUAACUUUGUCGCAUCAAGGUCAAAAUGAAGUUAGUUAACCCGGGUCACGCUCAAAGCUAAAACAACAGAAACUUCAGUAGAUUCAGAUUCAAGUACAUCAAAAACCAAUGAGUCAUCAGAAGAUCAAGAUGAUCCGUUGAAGAAGUUAACAAAUUUUUCUAGGUCUGUCCUGAAUGGUGCACUAAAAUGGUUAAGAGACAACCUGUAAUCCUCAAUUAUAGGAUGCUGCUUCAUACAAUCCUCUUUUAUACAGCAAUGACAUUGAAUUUUAUGAUCCUCAGAAUAACGUCUAUAGGAUCUUGCAGCACUUUAUCUCUUAGAAUAACUUUUUAAUUGUACCAUCCUAUCAUGUUUGAUGUAUCGAAAAUCCUGCUGGUUUUGAUAUUCCAAUUUCUUUCUACAGA